rnacentral:sRNA from 1 species
CAAAAUAGGGGACUCCAUUUAUAUUCGAGCAUCUCAUUACGUCAGUCAGUCUUGUGUGCGGAGGUCAGAAUGCAUUGUCUAUCCUCAAAAGCAAUGCCAUGUGGGUUCUUGUGGAGCGCUGAGCAAUCAUGAACAAACAGAUAUUGAUUCUCUCUGAGUAUGAUUCUCUCUUGGUCAUCUCCAGGAAAUUACUCUUCACCUCCAGAAUUUGAUCACCAUCCGGCAUGGAACUAGGUGCCUGCAAGAAAGAUGCAAUCAAACUGUUGUGAAUGCUCUAUUUGAGAAGCCCGGCUCUCAAAGAUAGUGGAGGACACCGUUCGUAAUUCUACUUGAGCAAUGCUAUACCAUG